UCGUGCUAGACGGGGAACUGGCGGUGCCUUGUACCCGCAAUCCGCCAUAGCGGGGUCGAAUUCCCCCCCGAGGGUCAGCUCAUCCGAUUCUGCCAGAGUCAAACGGUGUUGAAGAACGGGUCCUGCGCGGCAGCAGCCUCCGAACCCCGCCAGGUCCGGAAGGAAGCAACGGUAAGGAGUCACUGCUGGGCGUCGCGGGGGUGCCUGGUCGGAGCCGGGUGGCUCGGGUAAGGCGGGUGGUGUGAUUCGACGGGGGGUGCACGA
rnacentral:SRP_RNA from 1 species